rnacentral:rRNA from 1 species
UACGUAGGUGGCAAGCGUUGUCCGGAUUUAUUGGGUUUAAAGGGUGCGUAGGCGGUCUUCUAAGUCAGUUGUGAAAUACUUCAGCUUAACUGGAGAGGUGCAAUUGAUACUGGAAGACUUGAGUACUGAUGAGGUAGGCGGAAUGGACGGUGUAGCGGUGAAAUGCUUAGAUAUCGUCCAGAACACCGAUAGCGAAGGCAGCUUACUAAGGAGUAACCGACGCUGAGGCACGAAAGUGUGGGGAUCAAACAGG